CUCGCCGUAGGUGAGCCGGCGGCCCUCGGUGAUCAGGGCGUCGUGGUCGGCCAACCGGUCGGCGAUCCGGUUCAGGACCUGCGGAGUGG
rnacentral:tRNA from 2 species